rnacentral:rRNA from 1 species
UGAAUUUUGGCUUUCUGUCUUUUCAAAAAUCAAUUUUUUUUAAUAAAAAAUAUAUAUAAAUAAUGAAGUUAGAUGACAAAAAUAAAACAACUUCAUAAUUGAACANAUUAGCUAGUUGGUGAGGCAAUAGCUUACCGAGGCAAUGAUUAGUAGCUGGUCCGAGAGGAUGAUCAGUCACAUUAGGACCGAGACAUGACCCAGACUCCUACGGGAGGUAGUAGUGGGGAAUUUUUCACAAUGGACGAAAGCCUGAUGGAGCAACGUCGCGUAGAGGUAGAAGGUCCACGGGUCCUGAACUUCUUUUCCCGAAGAAGAAGCAAUGAUGAUAUCUGGAGGAUAAGCAUCGGCUAACUCUAUGCCAGCAGCUACAAUAAGACAGAGGAUGCAAGUAUUA